rnacentral:lncRNA from 1 species
CGUCAAGACCUCUUUAGAUGUGAUGUCCAAAUGGAGUCGACAUCUAUUUUCUCUCUUGUGUCUUCUUUUAGUAACAGCAUCCUGAUUUUCCUCUGGAACAAAUGUACAGAGAGAAGGCUCAGCACUUCAAAACUGAUGAAAUAACCUCAUAGAUUCCACAGACUUCCUGAGCCUGGCAGGGAUGGAG